AUACCAGCCCCGCGAGUGGUCGGGACGCUUACAGGGCCUAAAGCGGCCGUAGCCGGCCCGACAAGUCCCCGCCUAAAUCCUCGGGCUCAACCCGAUGACGGGCGGGGAUACUGUCGGGGUAGAGGGCGGGAGAGGCCGGGGGUACUCCCGGGGUAGGGGCGAAAUCCUAUAAUCCCGGGAGGGCCACCAGUGGCGAAGGCGCCCGGCUGGAACGCGCCUGACGGUGAGGGCCGAAAGCCGGGGGAGCGAACCGGAUUAGAAACCCCAGUAGUCC
rnacentral:rRNA from 1 species